GCAGAAUAUCCGUGGCCUGACUUUCUGGAGCAUCAGUAUUACUACAAGAUUUAGAAGAAGCAAAGUUAUGUCAUUUCCAAGGUUCAUCUUGGCUGAAAUCAUCCCACGUGUGUUGUUUUCUGUCCAGCUUGCCUCCCUCGGCAUGAGGUUGAUGAGACUCGCCCAGCAUGUGUGUGUCAGCGGUUGCUCCUCGGCACGGCUUAGGGCGUUCUGCUCUGUGGAUGCCCUGCAGUGCGCUCAUCUUCCUCCUGGGGACUUGCAGAUCAUCUCUUGCGAACAUUCUUGUACAAAAGCUUUUUGUAUGCUGUUUGAUUCCUUUAUUAGCAUUUACGUGACACACUUUUUGCACUUUUUAGUGGUUGUUCCAGAUUACAAUAUGCAUCUUUAACAUAUCACAGCCUACCUAGACUUAAUAGUGCACCAAUUUAAUCAAUGUAAAAUAUGGAAGCCUUGCUACAGAACAGUUCCACUUACUGUCUGAACUUUGUGUUAUUGUUUUCAUAAAUUUUACAUCUACCCAUGUUAUAAAUCCCACAAUACAGUGUUAUAAUUUUUGCUUUGAAUAGUCAUAAGUCUUUUAAAUAAAUUAAGAGAAAAAAGUUAA